GUGCCAGUCGGUCAAUUCGCCGAGGAGCAUGGACUCAAGAUUUUUUUCACGGUCCCCGUUGACGCCUACGCCAAAGGAAAAUAAGCGCCCUGUUUGCUCAGCACUACAGCAGGCGAUGGCAUGCUCAGCUUCGAAAUGGAUCCUGAUCGGGUUGCUGGACCACUUGUCACAGUGACAUGGCGUACCAGUAUUUCUGAACCACGAAAUACAACAGUCUGCAGGGUGUGCCUGUGUGGUCACUGAAUCUUACGCCUACCCUUUGUGCUGGCCUUGUUUACUUCACCCCCAACUCCUAACUUUAGCACUAUGUAAAAAGAAGAUUCCCC
rnacentral:lncRNA from 1 species